rnacentral:antisense_RNA from 1 species
AGUUAUGGGCGACCGUGCGGGGAGCCUUCGCGCUCGCCGGUUCCAAGUGCCGGUCUUCCACACCCGCACGGUCUGCCCUCCUCA